GUUUGUCAGCACUAUAGAAUUUCUAAGAUGGCCUAUUAGAUUUUCCCAACAGCUGCAGUGUGGUAUAACUUAUGUAUAAUAACAAGACCUUUGUAAAGAUUACAGUUUGUUGGUAUGUGAUAUAGAUAAGAAGCAAUGAAGCCAUCGCCAUAGUAAGUAAACACAGUCAUCACUCCCACAAGUUUGCCCCUGCUCCUUUGUAAGCCUUGUGUCCGCCCUGUCCUUCAUGAGGAGGCAUUUGAGAGAUGUGCUUAUAUCCUCCUGGAGGCUGGUUGAAGGUUUAUAAAGAUGAUUCUUUGUAACAGAGAUUAUAAAUGUCUUUGCUAUUCCUCAUUGUCUCAAAUAUUAUUUCAGCUUGUCCAUAUUUUGGCUGGCCAUUUCCCUUUUGGCUCUCAUGUAUUUGGGAUUCUGUGGAAGCUUACCAUUAUUACUGCCACCCUUGCAAUUUGUGCAUGUCUGGUUUACCUCUGGAGAGUUGUCCUUGCUGUGAGUAUACUACCUUACCUUCUUCCAAAUUGUUAA
rnacentral:lncRNA from 1 species